GUUAAAGACACCAUCUUUAACCAAGGUUGACCUCGGAUCAGGUAGGAAUACCCGCUGAACUUAAGCAUAUCAAUAAGCGGAGGAAAAGAAACCAACAGGGAUUGCCCUAGUAACGGCGAGUGAAGCGGCAACAGCUCAAAUUUGAAAUCUGGCUUCGGCCCGAGUUGUAAUUUGUAGAGGAUGCUUUUGGUGAGGUGCCUUCUGAGUUCCCUGGAACGGGACGCCAGAGAGGGUGAGAGCCCCGUAUAGUCGGCCACCGAUCCUCUGUAAAGCUCCUUCGACGAGUCGAGUAGUUUGGGAAUGCUGCUCAAAAUGGGAGGUAUAUCUCUUCUAAAGCUAAAUACUGGCCAGAGACCGAUAGCGCACAAGUAGAGUGAUCGAAAGAUGAAAAGCACUUUGAAAAGAGGGUUAAAUAGCACGUGAAAUUGUUGAAAGGGAAGCGCUUGUGACCAGACUUGCGCCGGGCUGAUCAUCCAGUGUUCUCACUGGUGCACUCGACCCGGCUCAGGCCAGCGUCGGUUCUCGCAGGGGGAUAAAAGCUUCGGGAACGUGGCACCUUCGGGUGUGUUAUAGCCCGUUGCUUAAUACCCCUGCGGGGACCGAGGU
rnacentral:rRNA from 1 species